rnacentral:rRNA from 1 species
GAUGAACGCUAGCUACAGGCUUAACACAUGCAAGUCGAGGGGAAACGGCAUUUAGUGCUUGCACCGAAUGGACGUCGACCGGCGCACGGGUGAGUAACGCGUAUCCAACCUACCCAUUACUGUGGGAUAACCUGCCGAAAGGCAGACUAAUACCGCAUAGUCUUCGAUGACGGCAUCAGAUUUGAAGUAAAGAUUUAUCGGUAAUGGAUGGGGAUGCGUCUGAUUAGCUUGUUGGCGGGGUAACGGCCCACCAAGGCAACGAUCAGUAGGGGUUCUGAGAGGAAGGUCCCCCACAUUGGAACUGAGAUACGGUCCAAACUCCUACGGGAGGCAGCAGUGAGGAAUAUUGGUCAAUGGGCGCGAGCCUGAACCAGCCAAGUAGCGUGCAGGAUGACGGCCCUAUGGGUUGUAAACUGCUUUUGUAUGGGGAUAAAGUCAAUCACGUGUGAUUGUUUGCAGGUACCAUACGAAUAAGGACCGGCUAAUUCCGUGCCAGCAGCCGCGGUAAUACGGAAGGUCCGGGCGUUAUCCGGAUUUAUUGGGUUUAAAGGGAGCGUAGGCCGGAGAUUAAGUGUGUUGUGAAAUGUAGACGCUCAACGUCUGACUUGCAGCGCAUACUGGUUUCCUUGAGUACGCACAACGUAGGCGGAAUUCGUCGUGUAGCGGUGAAAUGCUUAGAUAUGACGAAGAACUCCGAUUGCGAAGGCAGCUUACGGGAGCACAACUGACGCUGAAGCUCGAAGGUGCGGGUAUCAAACAGG